rnacentral:rRNA from 1 species
CGGGAGGCUGCAGCAGCUAGGAAACUUCUACAAUGUACGCAAGUAUGAUAGAGCAAGCCAGAGUGCUUUCCUAUAAUUGGAAAGCUUUUGUGAAAUGUAAAAAGUCUCACGAAUAAGGACUGGGAAAGACUGGUGCCAGCCGCCGCGGUAAUACCAGCAGUCCAAGUGGCAGCCGCUUUUAUUGGGUCUAAAACAUCCGUAGCUUGCUAAGUAAGUCCAUUGUGAAAUCCGGCAUCUCAAGUGUCGGGCGUGCAAAGGAUACUGCUUAGCUAGAGACCGGGAGACGUAAGGAGUACGGUUAGGGUAGCGGUAAAAUGCGUUGAUCCUUUCUGGACUAACGAUAGCGAAGGCACCUUACGAGAACGGAUCUGACAGUGAGGGAUGAAGGAUAGGGUCGCAAAACGGAUUAGAUACCCCAGUAGUC